rnacentral:rRNA from 1 species
AGGAUGAACGCUGGCGGCGUGCCUAACACAUGCAAGUCGAACGUCCUGUCUCGCAAGAGGCAGGGAGUGGCGGACGGGUGAGUACCACGUGGGUCAUCUACCGUGAGGUGAGGAAUACCGGCGAGAAAUCGCCGACAAGACCGCAUAGGCUCGAUGCAAGUCGAGCAAAGCUCUUUCGAGAGAGGGAGCGCCACACGAGGAGCCUGCGCCCGAUUAGCUAGCUGGUGGAGUAACGGUUCACCAGGGCGACGAUCGGUAGCUGGUCUGAGAGGACGAUCAGCCACACUGGGAUUGAGAACGGCCCAGACUCCUACGGGGGGCAGCAGUGAGGAAUUUCGUCAAUGGGGGCAACCCUGAACGAGCAACGCCGCGUGCAGGAAGAAGGUUUUCGAUCGUAAACUGCUUUUCUCGGGGAAGAGAACGGACGGUACCCGAGGAAUCAGCCCCGGCUAACUACGUGCCAGCAGCCGCGGU